UUAAUUAAAAUGUGAUGAUUAUCAUAAUUAUUAAUGUAAAAUGUGGAAUCCAAUGCAAAUAGAGGGUGAACAAUAAUAGCUUGUCAGAUUUCUUUUCACAUUUGACUGCGGAAAUCCGAUAGCUUGGUUUAUUGUGAUUAUGGAUACAAAACCAAUUAGUUUGUUACUCACUAGAUUUUUGUGCCCUAUAAUUAAAUUUAGUUGAUAUUUGUUAUUCCAACAGGUAGGUAAAAAAUUUUAGUAAAAGAAUAACAAAUACAAAUUUAGUAAUUGCUUUAUAAAACCUUUAGAAGAAUGGGUUGUUGGUUAGAUUUAGCAACUAAAAUUGGGUAUUGCGACAUCAAUAUGUAUUGGUUGUUACCUGAUGUUAUAAGUCCCAAUGUAUUAGAUAUGAUCUUGAAUUACAGAUGGAAGUGACUCUAAGCGAGGGGACUAGUGAUUGCUGUGGAAGUGAUAGUGAUGCUUACAAGGAGUCGAGCCAUAGGGGUUUUAGCGGUGACAUGGCCGAUGAUGAAUGUGGGGACUUGGAAGACGUUGCUGGACUGAGUGUCGACGACAUAUUAGAGAAGGUUUGGGACAACAUUGACAGUGUGUAUGAGUUUUAUAGGAGGUAUGGGAAAGUUCAUAGAUUUAGGAUGUGAAAGGGUGACUUGGACAAAGGCUGUGAUGAGAAUUCGGUUAGAUAUAGAUUUUUUUGUAACAAAGAAGGAUUAAAUGAACGUAAACACUAAAACAGAGUUGACAGAAAAAGGGUACACAAACCGGAGAUAAGAACAAACUGCAAGGUAAUAUUCUCAAUAUAUUUAGACAAAAAUGAUAAGGCUUGGAAGGUGAGAAAAUUACUUGUUGAACACAAUCACAAACUAACACCGGCAGGAAUGGUACAUCUGAUUGCCAAUCAUCGUGGGUUAACUAAAGCAGGAAAGACUUAGAUUAAUGAGAUGCAUGCACAUGGCAUUGCAAAAUCUAAGAUUGUGAGGUACAUGGCUGGUAUGGCCAAUGGGCAUUCUUUGUUGGGGUUCUUGAAGAAGGAUGUCUACAACUAUGUUGACAAAGUCCGGUAGGCAAAAAUAGCAGACGGUGAUGCAAAUUCUAUGAUAGUGUAUCUAGAGGGAAAGGCUGAGGCAGACCUACUGGUGAUCGCAAAACACAUCACCAGUGAUGAUAGGCUAGCGAACUUGAUCUUGGCAAAUGGAUCUAGCAGACUUGAUUACCAAUAUAAAAGACUAGCUGUGAUUUUUUCUGGAUCAAAUAAUCAUAAGCAGAUAACGAUAUUUGGGUUUCGUUUGUUACUUGACGAAAGUGUGUCAUUGUAUAGGUGGAUGCUAGAUAAUUUGCUAGAGAUCAUGUGUAGUAAGAAGCCGUGUGUAGUUUUGACUGAUGGUGACAAAGUUAUGAUUAAAGCAGUAUCUGAAGUCCUUUCUGAUGCGACUCAUCGUUUGUGUGCAUGGCAUGUGGAAAAAAAUGAUACUUUAAAUGUCAAAGAUGAGGAAUUGUGUCAAUUGUUGAAAAGAUGGUUGUAUGCUGAGUGGUGGACGAAAUUGUGAUCAUCAAUAUUGGCUCCUUGGUAUGUACACAAAAACUAUUGUGUCUCUGGGUUAAAUUCACAACUCCGUUCAACUAACCAGCAAGUGUACUGGGUCGUCCAAGUAAUAAACCUUACGUGAGUAAAGGUCGAAUCCACAGAGAUUGUUGGUAUGAAGCAAGCUAUGGUCACCUUGUAAAUCUCAGUUAGGCAGAUUAAAAAGUUAUGGGUUCGAAAAUCAAUAAUAAAUGAAAAAUAAAAAGGGAUAGAAUACUUAUGCCGAUUCAUUGGUGAGAAUUUCAGAUAAGUGGAUGGAGAUGCUGUAUGGCUCAAGGACGCCUGCUCUCCUACUGCUUCUACUCAAUCCUUCUUACUCCUUUCCAUGGCAAGCUUUGUAUAGGGGUUCACCAUCAGCGGUGGCUACUUUCAAUCCUCUCGGGAAAAUGAUCCUAUGCGGCUGUCACUCGCACGGCUAAUCGUCUGGAGGCAUCACCCGUGGUUGAUGGCUACAUCCCAUCCUCGCAGUGAAAACUAAUGCUCACGCACUCUGUCACAGUACGGCUAAUCACUGGUUGGUUCCCGCGCCUACUGGAAUAGAAUCCCUUGAUUCUUUUGCGUCUGUCACUAACGCCCAGUAUUUGCAAGUUUGAAGCACGUCACAGUCAUUCAUUACCGGAAUCCUACUCGGAAUACCACAGACAAGGUUAGACUUUCCGGAUUCCCAGGAUCCUACUCGGAAUACCACAGACAAGGUGAGACUUUCCGAAUCCUCAUAAAUGCCACCAUCUAUCUAGCUUAUACCACGAAGAUUCUGUUGGGGAAUCUAAGAGAUACACAUUCAAGCUCUGUUGCAUGUAGAACGGAAGUGGUUGUCAAUCACGCGCGUUCAUAAGUGAGAAUGAUAAUGAGGGUUAUCUAACUCAUCACAUUCAUCAUGUUCUUGGGUACGAAUGAAUAUCUUGGAAUAAGAAUAAAAGAGGAAUUGAAUAAAAGAAAGUAGAAAUUCAUUAAUACUUGAGGUACAGCAGAGCUCCACACCCUUAAUCUAUGGUGUGCAGAAACUCCACCGUUGAAAAUACAUAAGUAAAAGAGGUUCAGGCAUGGCCGAAUGGCCAGCCCUCUCCAUGAUCAAGUGACCGAAUAUUCAAGGAGAUUAAACUGUCAAAAGAUGUCUAAUACAAUAGAUAAAUGUCCUAUAUAUACUAGACUAGCUACUAGGGUUUACAUGAGUAAGUAUUUGAUGCAUAAAUCCACUUCCGGGGCCCACUUGGUGUGUGCUUGGGCUGAGCUUGAUCUAUCCACGAGCUGAGGCUUCUCUUGGAGUUGAACUUCGAGUUAUGACGUGUUUUGGGCGUUCAACUCCGGAUCAUGACGUUUUUCUGGCGUUUAACUCCAGACAGCAGCAUGUACUUGGCGUUCAACGCCAAGUUACGUCGUCAAUUUCCGAAUAAAGUAUGGACUAUUAUAUAUUGCUGGAAAGCCCUGGAUGUCUACUUUCCAACGCCAUUGAGAGCGCGCCAUUUGGAGUUCUGUAGCUCCAGAAAAUCCAUUUCGAGUGCAGGGAGGUCAGAAUCCAACAGCAUCAGCAGUCCUUUUGUCAGCCUUUUUCAGAGUUUUGCUCAAAUCCCUCAAUUUCAGCCAGAAAUUACCUGAAAUCACAGAAAAACACACAAACUCAUAGUAAAGUCCAGAAAUGUGAAUUUAACAUAAAAACUAAGGAAAACAUCCCUAAAAGUAGCUUGAACUUACUAAAAACUAUCUAAAAACAAUGCCAAAAAGCGUAUAAAUUAUCCGCUCAUCACUGAACUUGCAAUAGAGGACUUCGAAUCGGAAUGGAGUAGGCUGCGGAUGAGUAUGAUCAUUGUGACAAGCAAGGGUCAUGCCAAAUGUAUGAGAAAAGGAUGAUGUGGGCAAAUGUUUAUCUGCGUGACAAGUUCUGUGUGGGUUAUCGCACAACAUCCCGUUGUGAAGGGAUUAAUGCAUUUGUCAACAAAUAUUUGAAGUCUACCUACAUGAUUUUGGAGCUGGUGUAGAGCUUACAGAUAGUUGCCCGUGAUUAUAAGAACAAGGAGAUGUUGCUCCAUUUCCAAUUGAUCAACUCAGUUCCGGUUAUGACCACCUGCCUGAGAAGUAUUGAGAGGCAUGCCAUUACGGUAUAUAUGAGAGAACUGUUUGGCCAUGUAAAGAAGGAGAUUGAAGGUGUUUGUUCCUUAAACUUGAUUAGUAAAUAGAGAAUCAUGAAUACAAUGGUGUACACAUUGGAAGAGUAUGAGGAACCUGAUGUGUACAUAGUGUCCUCAUUUGGGAGGUCAACAAGAAAAUUAGAUUGUUAAUGUUAUUUUUGGAAGAAGAAUGACUAUCCAUACAAGCACAUGUUCUUUAUUAUGAAGGCAAAGCACCUAAAGGAAAUACCCGAUAAACUCGUUCUGAAGAGGUGGAGAAUCGAUGCCAAGUUACCAGAGUAGUAUGUAGAAAAUUGAGGAGAAGUUAGCGAGCGCAGUAUCCUCCUCCAACAUGGGGCACUCUAUGCCGCCUCCCACUGGAGCACAGGGCGCUCCAUUCCGAUGUUGGGGCAACUGUAGGAGAUGAACAACAACGAAAGACUAUGGUUAGGAAUCAAGGGGUUGCUAAGUCAAAGGGGGCCCUACAAUUUGGUAAGCAAAAAAUCCUUGGUAAAAGGAGGCAUUGCACCUGCUGCAAAAAGACAGGGCACAGAAAGCAAAAUUGUCCUACUAAUCGAGAAAGCAAUAAGAAUCACAGGUCCGAUGAUGAGUCUGUGGAUGGAAACGCUCCCCCUUCAGCUAACAACAUUAGUUAUUUAUUUUUCUGCCAUUUUUGUUUUGGGUGCUCAUGUUUUGAAAUCUUUAUUCUAACUAAGAUGAUUCAGUUACAGGACGAUGAAGACGUCAGGAAAAACUUUAUCAGUUUAGGGUCGGAUCAUAAUGAAAAGUCCACAAUAGGUGAUAACUUAUGCUUCAACUCCAGAUACAAUAGGAAUGUAGAUUUCUUUUCUGAGGGGAGUAACUUUCUAGAAUAUUUGUGAAGUGUGAAUGUUUCAUAAUUGUGGUACUUCAUUAUGUUGUUGUAGUGUGAUUGGUAAAUACAAAUUUGUUGGUUUAUAGACGAAAUUGACCGAGUGUAAGUACGAGCAUAUGAUUAGUCAUAUGGAUGACUGUGUCCUUUCUCGGGAUUGUUGUGUAUGCUAAGCAGAAUUAUGAUGAGGGAUUUAUUAUUUGCAGUUGCGUAACCUCAUGAAUGGAUUGUCGUAAGGUGGGGUCAGAAGCCCCAAUCCCUAGUUGGUUUGACUCUUUUUGAAGUGGAAGGUUCGUUUUGAGGAGAUCCAAAGUCAUUGCAAAAUUCCCUUAUGACAUGUCAUAGUUCUAGCUUUAUCUAUAAACUGAUUAGAAUAAUUUUUCAACUGAAAUGUGUAUUGAAGGUGAGUUGAUUAAACUUGUUGCCUCAUGGUUCAGAAUGAGAUAAUAGCGUCACAUUAACCUUGCCUCAAGGAAAUACCUAAAGAGCAUUCAACCCAGUGAGGAGAAAUUUUUAUUUUUUAAGCAUUUUGAUGGACAUCAUUUAAUCUCAGCACAAUUUAGUGCAUCAAAAAUUUGGAAAUAGUUCUUUGUGUGAUUUGGUUAACCGAAUGAUGUGAAGCCUAAAAGUAAACUACUUACCUAAAUUUAGGCUAUGACAAUAUUUUUUGUUAGCAAUGAAUACAAUGAAGUUUGAAAAAUGUAGGGAAGGUAAAGGAGCAACAUUGAUCAUUUUGUUUAAGCAUAACUGAAUGUGGGUAACGAAUAAUAAAGAGGUUUAGAAUAUUGGAAUUAAGAGUUAGUUGUAAAUACUUCACGGUUGAAUCGUAUAAAUGCUGCACCAAAUGAUAACGCAUAUCUAACGUUAUUUUAAGGGUUAAGUACAAUUUUGGUCCCUAACGUAUAGGUAAAAAAAAUUUUUCGUCCCCAACCUUUUUUGCAUAUAAUAUCGUCCCUAAAGUUCGAGUUGGUUUUAAAAUUGUCAUUUGGGCAAAAAAAUACUUUUUAAAGAUGAUUUUGCCCUUGAUGGUUUCUUUUCCUUCAUGUCAUUCACACGAAAUCAUUUCAUCUUUCCCAAAUAAAUCAUAAUGUUUGGGAACAUACUUGGUCUUUGAAACGUUUGCGUCAUGCCCUACAAAAGCAUUCCUACGAGGAUGAUCUACGCUAGUGGUUGAAGACAUUGUGUUGUUGGGAGUUUGAUCGAGGUUGUGUUGUCGCAUUUGUCACUCAUCUUCAUCGCUACAGAUAGCCGUUGUUGAGGUAAGCUUGCUAUCCAUGCAAUGUCGCUUCACCUCAAUUAUUUCUUGCAUUUUGAUGGUUUGAGGUUUAGAACAAUGUUGAUGUAUCUAAGUUGUCUAUGGUUUAAUGUAGGUUGCACUAAUUCUGGAUAAAGCUAAGGUUUGUGAUUAUCUAUUUUUUCUUUCUUAUUUGUUUUAGUAAUUUAUUUGUGUUGAAUAAUAGGGUUGUUCAAGGAGAAGAUAGUGAACUUUAACAUGAGUGUGCAUCAUGGGGUGCAUUCGGAUAUGAGGACGGGGUAUUUAAGUAUUUGAAGGCGGCAAACUACAAUCAUCGAAGAAAUUAAUGGCGAUCGGUGGUCUUUGUUUGAGGCAUAUGAAGAGUUAUGGCAGUUUGGAUACUUGGAGUCCACCAUUGCAGCAUUAUGGUAUAAAGAUCCAGCUGCAGAUGAUUCUGAGAAUAACUUGAAGAUGUUGAAAGGUGACUCAGAUGCAAUUACUAUGUGCAAAAUAGCUGAGAUGAGGGGCUUGGUGGAUUUGUUUGUGGUACAUGAUGUUGGGGAUGCGGACGGGUUUCCGGAAGUUUAUUAUAUUGACAUAGGGGGAGAUAAUGAAGGCGUUGAAAGUGAAAAACUUAAUGGUGGUGGUCUUCAGAUAGUGUUAUUUGAAGGAGAGCAAGAAAAGAGUGUGAUAGCAAAGGAUGAUAACCCUGUGACUGAUGCAGUUGGGGGUGCGAUUGAAAUAGAAUUUCAGAAUAAGGGUGUUUCAGUAGAGUUAAGCGAUGAAGAAUAGAUUGGAGGAGUUUUCCAUGAAAGUAGUGAUGAAGAUAGUGAUGACCCUGAAUAUUUGCCAUCUAAUGAGGAGGGAGAUAGUGCCAAAGACAUCCACUUCACUAACAGUAAGGAAGAGUAUGAAUAUGAUAGUGGAGUUGGGGAAAAUCAUUAUGUGCUAAAGAUGGCUAUUGCGGCCAAGGGUAAGAGGGUUGUUACAAGUGAGCUAAGUGAUAAGGAAGGGACAGAUAAUGAUGAAUUGGAAGUAGACUAUAUGAUUGGUGGAGAUGAUUUGGGGCUGAUAAUGCAGAGGAGGAAGCUGAUGGUGGAUUAGAAUGUGAGGGCCAAAGGUUUCCAAUCCAUGAACCUCAAAAUGACUAACUACAAAUGGGAGGUGGAAACACUUUAUGAAUCUAGGCAAGAGUUUAAAGAUACUGUGGCAGCUUAUGCAGUUCAGACAGCUAGGAAUAUCAAGUUCAAGAAGUGUGACUUGGUAAGGGUGAGAGCUGUUUGUCACAAAUAGUGCCGUUUUUGACUUUAUGCAUACAGGGUUGGGGAGGAGUCAACAUGACAAUAAGAAGCAUAAAUUUGCAAUAUACUUGCAUUUAGACACACAAGGUUGGCAUAAUGCACUCCAAAUGGCUAUGCAACUAGUUUAAAAAGAAUAUGGAGUCCAAUCUAAUAAUCAAGAUAAAGGAGUUGGUGGCAAAGGCACACAAAAAAUGGAAUCUAACUAUGACUAAAUUAAUGGUAGCAAAAACCAAGCAAGAGGCAUUGAGCCAGAUUCAGGGUGCAUUUAGGGAGCAAUAUAAAAGGAUUAAUGAUUAUUGUGCUAAACUUCUAAGAGCAAAUCCAGGAUCACCCAUCUACCUGAAAGUGAUUCAGUCAACAGAUUUUUCUCAAGAUAUCCAGAACCCAAGCUUGAUUAAUUAAUAUGUAUUCCAGAGACUGUAUGUAUGCUUUGAUGAUGCAAGAAAAAAGCUUCCAAUACUGUAGACCAUUUGUUAGUUUGGAUGGAUGCUUCUUAAAGACUCCUAAGGGUGGACAACUGCUGAUUGCAAUUAGAAGAGACCCGAACGACGAGAUUCUUCCAAUUGCUUAUGCAAUUGUUGAAGCCGAGACAAAGGAUUCUUGGGUUUGGUUUUUACUCCAUCUUGCUGAGGAUUUGGGGCCGGAGAAAAUUGCAAAAUGCACCUUCAUGUAUGAUCCGCAAAAGGGAUUAUUACCAGCGUUCAAAGAGGUCAUACCAGGGUUAGAUAACAGAUUCUGCGCGAGGCAUCUGUAUAGCAAUUUCAGGAAAAAGUUUCUUGGUUUGGAGCUGAAGAACAGAAUGUGGCAGUGUGCAAAGGUAACUCAUUAGAGGGAUUGGGAGAAGGAAAUAAAAUCUGAGACUUGUGAGUGAGGGGGCAUUUUGACAUUUAAACAGCAUUCCACCCAAGUUUUGGUCUCGUUCUAGAUUUACUUUUCAUUCAAAAUGUGAUACCCUUGUUAAUAACAUGAGUGAAAGUUUUAAUGUUGUCAUAGUAGAGGUAAGAGAAAAACCUAUUGUAACUAUGUUAGAGGAUAUUAGGGUGUAUCUGAUGACUAGAUGGGCUACCAAUAGAGAUAGGGUUCAGCUUUACCAAGAAAACAUUAUGCCAAUAAUUAGGAAGAAAUUAGAGAAAAGGACAAGAUUAGCUAGGGACUGGAGGCCAUACUAGUUAGCUGCUAAUAAGUAUGAGGUCAUAUGUGGGUUAGAUACAUUUAUUGUAGAUCUGGCUGCUGUUGAAUGUUCUUAUAGGAAGUGGCAGAUGAGUGGUAUUCUAUGUCCUCGUUCCAUUAGUUACAUUAACUUCAAAGAACAUGAUUUGGAAUCCUAUAUGGAUGACUACUAUAAGAAGGAUGCUUACCUGAAGUGCUAUUAGAAGGUGAUGUAUCCUGUGAAUGGACCGGAUCUAUGGGAGAGAACUCAAUAUGAUGAUGUUAUGCCACCUCCAUAUAAGAGGCCAAGUCACAGACCUGUGAAGAAGAGGAAGCGAGGACCUAAAGAUGAGGAUAAUAGAAGCCAAAAUCACCUAUCAUAGAGGGGUCAAAUUCAAAGAUGCUCAAACUGUGGUGCUGUAGGACACAAGAAGGAGGGCUGCACAAAGCCUAAAAAGAAUGCCCAAAUCUCAACACAACAAGUUGCUAAAGCUCCUAAGAGAAGGAGGAAGCCUACAUCCAAACAACCCCUUGGUCAAACAGUUCAAAUAGGGAGGAAGAGAAAGAAUUCAUCCUCACAGCCCAACCUUCCAGCAACUCAGCCCAAGAAUGCAUUAACUCAUCCCAACAACCAACUCCAACUUAACUCUAAAGCAUCUUCAACCCAACCAUUGGCCAAGAACAAGAGUGCAGCAGCAGCAACCUCCUCCAACAAGAAACAAUCACUAAGUCAACCAACUGAGAGAAAGAGGCCUUUUUCUGUCAUCCAAACUGGUGCACCACAUAUUCCUCUAUAGAAGCUCAAGCUAAUGGCAAAAUUAACUCCUAGUGAAUGGAGAAAUCUUUAGAUAUUGCUUGUUAUGUUUUUUUGUUAUCACUGUGUUACUUAGUUGGAAAUAAUGCUUUAUGCACACUAUCUUGAAUCCUUUUUUUUGGUAUUAGGUGUUUCAGCACACUAUCUUUGAAUUCUAUUUUUUGUUUUAGUGGCAUGACAUCUAUUGUAAGCUAUGGUAUCAACUUAGACUUGUGUAAUCUAUGGGUAGAAUUGUGUUUGUUUUAACUUGUCUUUAAUUGAAAUUGGCCAUUAGGUCAUUACUGGAGUUACA